rnacentral:lncRNA from 1 species
AAGAGAUUAAAAUUGGAUUUAGUGCGUAUAUUUGAAAAAAAUUACCACCAAAUAUGGUAUCCCCCCCCCCCCCGUUUACAACACUUGUGACGUCAGGUACAUACGGGACUUCGGGGGCGGGUUUUGGCGGGAAAAUCUGUAAUGUUUGGAGAAGACAAGAUGGCGCCGGUUACCUCGUGUCAUAUCAAAGGGCAUUUUGUUCACAAAUACCCGCUUAUUUUACGUUAUAGCGACUGGUUAGUUUUGGAAAUUAUAACUCAAUGGACGGGGAAAACGAUUCUGUAUUAAAGAAAAAAAGAUGUGCAGUUAUUGUGAUGUUAUUUGUUGUGAAAGACGGCCCGAAAUUUCGCUACAUCGCAGUACUGGUUUAUAAAACAUUUACAAGCAACAGCAAUUGAACUAUAUGACAAAGAAACCAAUAUAUACAAGCCAAUCAAUAUCUUCUGUUUAAAGGUCAGUUUAAUUUUUAAUAAUUAGUUCAUUUAGUUGUAUAUUAAUACGAAGUACUGGAACAGUACGUAGUUUGAUGCCGAGUUUGAUUGGGCUAUUCCAUUUAAUAUCCGUACCCCCCCUGUCGAGGAUCCCUGGAAUUCUUCAGGGGUAAGGGGCCGUCGACAAAUAGAUUUCGUCCCGCAUCGCGGACUUGGGCCGCGAUUGUUUGAACCCCCUCCCCCCCUACCUCAUCGCGGACAAGUAAAAAAUCCAAAGAGAAUCGAAAUUAUGGUCCAAAAUAUUAUCCGAAAUAUGACUGUGAGCGGUCUACUAUAGGCAAGAAUACAGUAUGUAAUGCUGACUUUUAACAUUACAAUCAGCUAAUGCUUGUAAUAAAUAAAAACUAUUUUCCGUAUUGUAUAGCAGUUGUAAGUUAUAAAUACCCGAUUUGUUGUCCACAAAUGCAAUAUUUAUAUCCCCGAUUGAACGAAACUAGAAAGGUUGUGUCGAACUGCGAACUUAGUCAGAAAAGUCAACACAAAAUAUUCGGCCGCGAUCAGUUAUUCCAGCGGCAACACAUAUCAAAUCGGAAUUAACCGUAAUAGGUUCGGGCAUAGGUUAUGUACUUCGAAAUGUAAAUAUCAAACGAAGUAUUGUUGUUGAGCUUUGUCCGCUUUUUUUGCCUCCGAACUUUUUGUGAGUAUAUUAUUUAAAAUGUACUACAUUUUCUUCUGAUCUUCGUAUUAUAUUUCUAAAGUCAGUUUUCGUCCCAAAUAUUUUGUAAUCGCGGAUUCUUAUCUCCCCCCUCCCCCCCAUCGCGGCCCAAGUCCGCGAUGCGGGACGAAAUCUAUUUGUCGACGGUCCCUAAAGGGUUUUGAGCUUGGAAUUCUUCAGGGGUAAAGUGUUUUGAGCUUGGAAUUCUUCAGGGGUAAAGUGUUUUGAGUUUGGAAUUCUUCAGGGGUAAAUGGUUUUGAGCUUGGAAUUCUUCAGGGGUAAAGUGUUUUGAGCUUGGAAUUCUUCAGGGGUAAAGAGGUUUGAGAUUGAAAUUUUUCAGAGCUUGGAAUUCUUCAGGGGUGAAGGGUUUUGAGCUUGGAAUUCUUCAGGGGUAAAAGGUUUUGAGCUUGAAAUUCUUCAGGGGUAAAGGGUUUUGAGCUUGGAAUUCUUUAGGGUGAAGGGUUUUGAGCUUGGAAUUCUUCAGGGGUAAAAGGUUUUGAGCUUGGAAUUCUUUAGGGGUAAAGGGUUUUGAGCUUGGAAUUUUGGAAUUCUUCAGGGGUAAAAGGUUUUGAGCUUGGAAUUCUUCAGGGGUAAAGAGUUUUGAGCUUGGAAUUUUGGAAUUCUUCAGGGGUAAACAGUUUUGAGCUUGGAAUUCUUCAGGGGUAUGACAAUGAAAAACAUGUAUCCUCGACAGGGGGGGUACGGAUAUUAAAUGGAAUAGCCCAUUUGCUAUUUGUACUGUAGUCGGAAUAUUUAAGAUAAGGUAUGGAUAAACAGACCCCAACCCCUUUUCUAACACUAACCAAUAAAUGUGUAAUGAACUAUUUGAGAAUUAAAAAGGUCAGGGGGGGGGGAAUUUAAAAAUAUUGUAAGAAACAUUUCUACAGGGCUGUUUUAUAUGGAAAAGCAGGGUUGGCCCUCUUCGCAGGAUGAAUUUUGCUUGCGUUUAAUAUAUAAGGAAAUUUUAUCCAGCUUGCUGGGCUAGAAAUUGUUUACAAUGCACUCAAUUGGCUUUCCUGGGACAACUUUCAAAAUUAAUUUUUGCUUCAAAACUCGCUAUUUUGUAAACAUUGAAGGGUCUCUGUAAAGAACGAAAUUAACCCAAACCGGAAACAAUCGAAACCGGAAAUUCCCACCUAAUUUCCUGCAUAAACAAAUACAAAUUAUAUUGUUGAUGCUAGAUCACUGGCAUGUCAUUUAGAUAAAUAUCCUCUGAAUGUCACAAGGUUGUAUACUAUUUAACUGCUAACAAUUUUGUAAAUUAUUCAAUAAUCUUAUUGCAUCUUCCUGAACAAUGCUGGUUUUGUUUGACAAAAACGAUAUUGCAUUCACUUUCUCAUUUGACAUCCGAUAUGGCUUCCACUAAAAUGGCACGCUUCGUGAUUUAAAAAAUAAAUAAAUACAUGCUCAUUUACAUGUUUCCAAAUCCCAAUUUAUCUGACUGCAUUUUAAUGGAUUCAAAUAUUCAGAACUUUGUUCUUUCAAUCACAAGUAGUACAAGUAUUAUUGCAUUCAAUGGUAGUAUUUUAUUCGGCUUUAUAUGUGUAUUUUGUAUGUGUAUUUUUUAUAUAUGCAGGGCUCAAUAUAACAGCCGAUAGGUCUCCAGUCAAAAUGACCGGUCAACUUGAUUUUAGCUCGGUCAAAAUCUGUUUUCGACCGGUCACUAAUACUUGUGCACUAACAGUGAAAAAAAGUUAUAAGAAAUUUGUCUUGAGACAACUUUUAUUGCUUUGUCAUGUUUUAAACGCUUAGUUAAGACGUUAGCAGUCCCUAUAUAUAAAGGUGAACAGGUAACGUUAUCGUCGUUACCAGAGUUGUUUGCCGAUCUGAUUGUCGAGUUUUCAGUUUUGCCGCUGAAAAUCCUGAGGGCUUUUGUGUUGUGCGACUACUUUCGCAGCUACCUUCUUUACAUUUUCCAACAAGAAAAUUUUCUUCGCUGUAACCUAGUGUUUUAGCAAGCCACAGAGCAUAUGCAAAUUGAGUCUUGCAAAAAAUGCAGAGGUAUAUGAUGGUUUUCCGUCCACACUUCGUACAAUCCUUGAUCGCCCAAAUCCAGAUGAUAAGAGAGGCAUUAGUCAAGUGGUGCUACCCAAAAAAACCCCAGCUGAUUCGUUAGGCGACGAAGAGUCUGGAAUUUUUACUUGAAGCCAAUCACUUUUGAGAAAAAUCUGAGUAUUAAAACAACAUAAUUAGAACAAAGUCGAAACCUUUCAAGUUCAGCAUAUACUAUGUUUUUGUCGUACAUAACUCGACGUACUUACGGUGAAGUUGCGUACUUGCGAUGAAAUAUACAGUUUUUCUCUGACAAUAUUUCAGCAGACAUCAUAUGCCGAGGAGAAAAAACGAUUUAAAAUUCUAGGGAAAGGUAUGAAAAUGUGGCCGGUCAAAAUGACCGGUGAGGUAAAUAAGUGAAAGGUCAAGAGGCAAUUUUGGCCGGUCAUUGUCUGUUGACCAGCUGUUAUAUUGAGCCCUGAUUUGUAUGUGUAUUGAUUAGCUCGUAAUUGUAUUAUUUGGAGCCUAUAUUUAAUUAAUUAAUAUAUUGUGUGGCUUGCUAAUGUUUCGUAUUAAUGUUAUAUACAUUUCUUUAUCCUCAUGAUGACUGAAAUAUAGUCGAAAUGUUGGUUUUAAAAUAUAAAAAUGUUAUUGAUCUUCGGAGUUACACUUGUUUUAUACAUUUCUUUGUUGUACAUUUCACACCCUGCGUCAAUUUGACAGUCUUUGUUUAUUAUCCCGGUGAGCCUGCUCGCAGGCUAAAUUUUAGGCAAUUUUAUGCGGGGAAAUUAGGUGGGAAUUUCUGGUUUCGGUCGUUUCCGGAUUCGGUUGUUUCGGUUUCCUUUCUUUACAGAGACCCGCUAUUGAAGCACAUACUGCGAUUUGCAGUUGAGUUUAGAAACAGGAAGUUUUACCGCACAGUUUGAUCGUAAUGUUGUCAAGCGGAAAUGUGAAUGUUUUCAUGGGAAAUUUAGGCACUUUUGGCCAGUCACAUAAUUUCUGCGCCUUCUUUGCUAUGAUUGCCCAGAAGUGCCUAAAUUUCCAAUGAAAACAUUCACAGUUCCACUUGACAACAUUUGAGUUUGCCCUUGAUAAGUUGUGUGUUUCAACGAUCAAACUGCACGGUAAAACUUCCUGUCUCUAAGCUCAACUGUGCAGGUCACAGUAUUUGCAACCUUUUGUUUUGUCUCUUUUACGUAUGUAAUGUCAAGAACUAUAAAAAUAAUUGCAGAAAAGACUUCACACUAUCGAAAAUAUUUCAUCCUGGCAACUGGGCCAAAUUUUCACCUCGGUUGUCCGUAUAAACGCACAGGAAUUUUUAAAUUCUACUACACAGCGAGAUCUCGCUUAUCGGGGGCUGUCUUGCCAAGUGGGCCAGCCCAGUCCAAUAUAAAAAGCCCCUAUGCCAGGGUGCAUUCCAUGUAAAGUAUACGCCGAAGAUACGCCAAUAUUAACUAUAGAUAGUAUUGUAAUGUGCCAAACUCACGCCGAAGAUCUUCGGCUUAGGCCACUUAAAAUGCACCCUGGCCCCUAUGUCAAACAAAAAAAUAUCUAAAACAAAACCUGAACCCCAACCUCGUUUCAUUUUGCAUCCACGCUAUGCCUUUGCCAAAUAUGCUGAAUUGCUGAUUUGCUGUUGCAAAAAACUGUUUUAUAUUACUACUUUACAAAAUGUAAUAAUUGGAUGCCAUACUUCAGUACGAUUAUUAGUUCGAUAUUAAUAAUUAAUAAUUAUUUAUAAGCACUAUUAUACAAGAAAUGUCAACAAUGAAUUUUCCUUCAAUGGUUGCUUUUUAUUGGUCAAAAGUUUAAUAUUGUUUUGACAAGAGAAAUGUUUCUCAACAAUUUUCAGAAAGUUUUCGAAGACUUCUAGAAGGGGUCUGUUUUUAAUUGGGAUAUUCCAUUUAAAAGACAUAACCCCCCUAUCGAGGACAAUGGUUUUACCAUAUCUCUGAAGAAUUCCUGACAUAAAAGAGAUCCCCUGAAGAAUUCCUGUUAAUUAAAUAGCAUUUACCCCUGAAGAAGUCAGCGUUUACCCCUGAAGAAGUACAAUUUUUACACCUGACCCCUAAGGAAAUUGCAUUUGAAAUAACGAACCCCUGAAGAAUUCCACCAUAGACGGAUUUUCACUCUUUUACUGGGGUGGUGCCAGAAAUUUUAGGGGGGUGAGCUGUGAGCAGGUGACUGAAGCAACACAAAGUGUCACCAAACCCCAGUAAGGUCUAUAUUCUAGGGGUGGAGCACUAUAGAGCUGCGAGGGGGAGUCUAGAGAGCAGAAAACAAAGUAUCCCAGGAAAAAAUCAUGAUUUCUAGCUUUGAAAAAGUUUUUUGAAGUUGUCAUAUCAAUGGUUUUUAAAGAUUAAAUCUAGGCAAGUCUAUUUCCUAAAAGAAUUAAAGACUAAAAUAAUGUGCGUAAAAAUUCCAAACGUUCCUUGCAAAUAAGCUAUUUGCAUGGCAAGGCACUGCAGGGGAGAUAAUAGAGUUUCAAGACUUUACAAUUGCUCCAAUAAACCAGUUUCAGAGUAUUGCACCAUCUUUUUCUAUUUGAGUGUACUCCUACAUUUAUUUUGUAUCAUCAACACUCUGCACGUUGGAGUGGACUAUUUAAUUAUUUUUUAUUAUGCCGAAUAUUGGGGGGGUUGGAAAAUUUUUUUGGAGGGGUGAACAUUUUGUUUGGGGGGGGUUAUAGCUAAUAUUGGAGGGGUAGCAUCUCCCCCCCGAAAAUACGUCUAUGAAUUCCACAGGAGAAUUUGUUUACCCAUGAGGAAUUUGGGAGUUAAAAAGGGAGGUUCUGGAUAUUAAAUGGAAUAGCCCAAUUUUCUGGAAAAUUUCCUGGUUGUUUUCCCUGCAGCUUGUUUAUAAACAUGAUGAUAAUUUUCCAGAAUUCUUGUCUGGUUCAAUAGAAAUUUUAUUUUCCAAAGUUUUAAAAUAAACAGAAGUGCAGAUGUACCCAAAACAGCUGGUUAAUUUUUACCCACUGGUAGCACUAAUCAGCUAAAGCUUUGAACCACUGGCCCCAGGGGCCAGUUGUUCAAAGCUGGGUUAGCUUAACCCUAUUUCAACAACUAAAAUUCAAAGCAAACUUCCUUUAUCAGUCGAAAGUGAUUAUUUAGAACUGAAUUUGUAAAAGUGGUGGGAAUUGAACCCGCGACUUUUGGGAUACUAGUCCAAUGGUCUGCCAAGUGAGCUAUGUGGUCAAGUCGGUUCGAGUUGAUGAUAUUUCGUAACCGAGUCUAGUUCCUUCGAUCAUAUCAUAGAAUACACUGAUAUCGAAAGAACUAGACUUCCAAAAUAUCAUCAACCGACUUGACCAUGUAGCUCAGUUGUCAGAGCAUUGGACUAGUAUCCCAAAGCUUGUGGGUUCGAUUCCCACCACGGCCAAGCUAACUUUUCAGCUGGUGUGGAUACACAUUCAGAGUAACAUUGCAAACAUCACAAUUUUCAGAAAGUUUUGACGAUUAUUUUGGGGCAGUACACAGUGGUCCCCCAGCCUAGGGUUGUCUUUACCAAUGCCAAUAUAAAUCUUAUUGGCAUAGAGAAUUAUACAUUUGGCAUAAUAAUUUUGUAUGCUGCAUUCAUUCUAUUGACCAAUCAGGGAGAUUCUUUUGUAAAUACCCACACCAAUCGGAAGUCUGUAUUUUUAUGCUAAAACAGAAAUUGGCAUCCCAGAUACUAAAUUAUAUUCAAAUUUAUAUUCAAGUUUAGGGUAUGUUGCAGCUCUAUAUCUUGCUGUUGCAAGUUGCUUUGCAUUUGAUGUUUGUUCUGGGAUAAAAUAUUGAAUUAUACCUUAAAUUAAUGUUUCGUGAAGUUCAGUUCAAAUUAAUAGAGAGAUGAGUGCAUAAAGUAUUUAGGGUAUUUUGAAGCUAAAUUUGUUUUAAAAUUCGUCAUUUUAGUGAAAUGAUGUGGAACACAAUGCGUUCUUUUCUACUCGUCCUGGUUGUUGUAAAGAGACAUCGGGCAUUGUAAUGAAUAGAUGAAAAUGUGUCGCUGGCAAACCUACACCAUGUGCAUUUCUUGGUGGAUAUCUUGGGCAAAUGUGCAAUAUGAUGGAUAUCUUGGGCAAAUAUCUUGUAUAAAUUGGUACAAUUACUUACCUUAAAUUACUAAAGAAGGAUGAUGUUUUAAGGUUAGUGGAUAUUUAUAAUAGUGAUAAAAUGGGGGUUCCCUGUGAAUAGGAACGAAGUAAGGCUGUCCAAUUAAGUGGAAACAAUAUUGCGGCGUGUAACAAUUUAAUCUGUAAAAAUGAUACAUGUUUAGAACAUGCAAAAAGCAAAAAUUGCGGCAUAAAUAUAUCACGAAACAUGCUUCUUACAACUACAUGCUAUGUUUAUAGGAAUUUGAAUAAGUUUUGAUAUAUAAUACCAUAAUGUAUAUAGAUUGUAAAUAUAUAGAUUGUAAUUUUUUUGAUAUAGAAAAUAAUAGAGUUCUUAUACAACUACAUGCUGUGUUGGGUUGUUAGGGUUGAAUAAGUUUUUAGCAGGCGUGAUUUAGGAUUUUUUUUAGGAUUUUCUAUAAAUUUAGUCUGUGCCCAGACUGUCCCCCCCCCCCCCAGGUCAAAAAAUAUGCCAGAUUUGUAAAUUCUACCAAAUCUAUUCAUACCAAAAAAUUAAAUGCUCUCUUGUGUGGCAAUGUCUGCCCAACAGCACCCAGAAACUUAAUCGGUAAAACCGGUAUACUCGUCUCAAAAUUAGCUAAGCAAAUUUAUGCAAGUAUAAUUUUGAAAUGAACAAAUAAAAAACUGCCGAUCAUAUUUUGCCGGUAGCUGUACGGCAUUAGCGUCGAAUGACAGCAGACUGUAAUCCCGUGGGGGAUUGCAACAUAAUAAUGCAUGUAAUAUAUGGUUGUACUUGUAAAAUUUAUAAUUGGUGCGUGACGAGUGAGGUUGAAGCGAGCAGGCGAAGCAGCAUUCUAAUAUGUACAGAUGGGGGGCGGUUGAAGUAAAUUUUAUUUAGGUAUUGCAUUGUCGUCAUGUGUGCUUGCUAUGCACAGAACAGACUUGCUAUGCACAGAGUGUCCCACAGCAGUAUGCAUAAGUUGUUGAUCAGGAAAAUAUAAUAUUUCACAAAAUAAAAAUUAUUAAAUAUAAAUAUAUAUAUUUCUUGUAACGUUUGGGACAACUUUGCUUUCUUUAACGUGUAGCAUAAUUUGUCUUUGUCAUUCUGUGCAAGUAUUCACGGCAAAGAAAAUAUGCAGGCAUUAAAUAUUUCCUGCAUUAUUUCUCAAUCCUUGCUCAAUGAGAAAAACAUACUUAAUUUUGUAAUAUAGGAAAAAAUAGAGUUUCUGUAAUAUGUAUGUAUCUGAAACAACUACAUGCUAUGUUGAUAGGAAUUUGAUGUUUUUAUUUUUAGUAGGCAUGAUUUAGGAUUUUUGUUUCUAUUCAUGAUUUUCUAUAAAUGGGGUGUCCAACUAAUUUGAGAUAUGUUAUGAAUUUAUGAUAUCUUUACCACAUAAAAGAGUGGCAGUGUCAUCACAACAGUAUAAAAACCAAUUACUGUGGGUGUGGGCUCUAUUUUACAAAUACUAUAUAAAUAUACAAUACCAUAAUUUACGAGAAUAAUUACAACUAUCAGGAACAACAAGAGAGUGGAGUAGCAAGACUAUGGAGAAGUGUUACAUUUCAAACAGAUUGAUUUCCAAGUCUGGGGAUUUUCAGAUUCAUAGUUUAUAUUGAUAGCAGUAAUGUAAUAUCUGUAUAACAUACAGUUGUUAAAUUUUUUAACGUCUCUCUGGAGCCUGCAGGAGGUGAGACCCUGGGAACGAGGAUGGGGCUCAUAUUUGUUCUUAAGAGUUUUUUGUUGGGCAUAUAGAUGGGAGGGGGGAGUCGUAUAUGGGGGUAUUUUGAUAUCGUAUAUUUCAAAAUCUAAGUUAGUCCUUUAUGAACACAAUAAAACUUAUUUGAGUGUAAUCGCUUUUGUACUUUUUGUUACAAUAAAAUAAAUAAAUCAAUAAUGUCAUUGCUGUUGAAAUGACUUAAUUCAUUACUAAUAAUACUAAAGCUUGUGUUGCUGAUAAUAUACCAUCCAGCGUCUAUUUUUUGGCAAAAUUGUUGCACAGACCAUAUUCCAAUGUUUGUGAUGUGACCAUUGCAUAUGGCUGUCAAAAACGUCAAGAUUAGUUAGAUUAUUGUUUUCUAAAACAUUGCACGGCUCGUGAUUUUAGAACUAUUUUUGUGCUUUAACCCAUUGAGUGGCAGCACUCUCCACUUGACAAGUAAAAUCCUGUGGCGUUAGAUAGUAAAAUACUAAAGUAGGGUGCAUCGGGGCACAAUGCAACUUAAGUAAAGGGUUAACCAAAACAAAGUUCAUAAAAAAAAAUUUUCACACAGUACCGGUACCAUGCCUGUUUGUAUUUUGAAAUUCCCAGAGUACAGCAUCUGAUGCACAAGACUUUGCUCUUGAUGAGUAAAAUGAUCUGAUAUCAGACAUUUGAGUUCCUUUGCAGCUUAAGGAGUUAAUCCUAUUUAUCUUGGAGAACAGCAGUUCAACUAUCUGGCUGGCUUGACAAAUAAAAUUAAGCAGGGGGUGCACUGGCAGUUAAUGGGUAACUAGACACUUGGGCAGUCUCAUUAUGAAGCAUAAAAUCGUCUGGCGUUGGACAGUAAAAUACUCAAGUAGAGCAUGCAUCAGGGCACAGUACAACCUAACGGUUUAAUUUGGGGGUUUUGUAGCAAAAUGGUUUAAGUUUUAUAUCUGAAUUAAUUAUUGUUUUUUUGCUUUGUUUUACAGAUCAUUACUGAACAUGCUGAUGAAAUAUUGAUUUAUAAAAUAUCAUGUUACCAAGAUGACAUGCCUUGAAGAGCAAUACAGGAGGGAAUACCUCUAUUUCUAAUCAAAUUACAACAACACACCAAAGACAGUAGUUAUGAUCACGAAGCUAUGAAUUUAAAGAAAAUGUACCAAACGACAAAGACGAUGAUGAAAUUGGAUGCCUCGGAUGAAAUAAAAGGAUUGAUCAAAAGUCCAUGGUCAGCAGUGGAUAUUUGUGACUAUAAUAAAUGGAUACAAAGAAACUAUGAUGGAUAAAUAUGGCCCCGUAAUGGAUAUUCAGUUAAUGGACAUACAAAGGUCACAGAAAUGUCCACUCUCAGGUACUGUUGUUUCUUGUUUGCCUGCGAACAGGCUGUAGAUACUUGUAUCCAGGCCAUCCAUUGUUUGUUUUGUUGUUCUGGAUACAAUGAAAUCCGGCAUAAAUCCUGGCGGUCUAAAUGUUCAGUAUAUUUACACAUUCGAUCUAUUUUCUGUUCAGUAGACUUUGAUAGCUUGAACGAAAGUUUAUAACGAUGAUUUUCUUUGCAAAAACUGUACUUUCGAAAUUCGUCAGCUUCUGAAUUUGAAAACCGAUCUGAAAAAAAAGAGGGAACAUUUGAGUGUAUGGUUAUUGCAUGGUUUCCCUCUGUGUAAAUAUACUGCCUUGGUGCAUACGCAUUACAAGCGCAGUAACACAAUAGUUUAGACAGGGUCAUGAGGCAGGUAGCCUGCGUAGCAGGCGGUAGAAGCUAGAAAUACCGCCUGCCCAAAAACUACACAUUCUGAGUUCCGCCCACCGCAUUGUCCCGCCCAUCUUACAGUAAUGUAUUUAUUUUAAUUAUUUGUCAAACUCACGUAUUUACACCAGUGCAAAUUUAAGGC